rnacentral:lncRNA from 1 species
CAAGCCCUGGACUAGAGGGAGAUUCCCGGCUUCAGUGGUAAAAUCUUGAGUCUUGGCUUCUCCAUUUGCUUGCUAAGGUGGUCUGGGGCCUGGAAAAAAUUUGAGUGCUAGUCAGGCCACAAGGUCUACGGUUUAGGGCAGUGCAGUUCCAGGACAGACUCCUGCUUGGUGGAUGGAGAGGGAAAGAUGUGGAGGACUAUGGCCUACAGCAUGGAUACCAGCUCAGCUCCAGUAAAAUAAAGCACCAGGCAGAUUCCUGAA